UGAUCAUGGCUCAGAUUGAACGCUGGCGGCAGGCCUAACACAUGCAAGUCGAGCGGUAGCGGGAAGAGCUUGCUCUUUGCCGACGAGCGGCGGACGGGUGCGUAACACGUAGGAAUCUGCCCGGUAGUGGGGGAUAGCCCGGAGAAAUCCGGAUUAAUACCGCAUACGCCCUAAGGGGGAAAGCAGGGGAUCUUCGGACCUUGCGCUAUCGGAUGAGCCUGCGUCGGAUUAGCUUGUUGGUGGGGUAAAGGCCUACCAAGGCGACGAUCCGUAGCUGGUCUGAGAGGAUGAUCAGCCACACUGGGACUGAGACACGGCCCAGACUCCUACGGGAGGCAGCAGUU
rnacentral:rRNA from 1 species